AUGCCUAACACAUGCAAGUCGAACGAACCCUUCGGGGUUAGUGGCGCACGGGUGCGUAACGCGUGGGAAUCUACCCUUAGGUUCGGAAUAACAGUUAGAAAUGACUGCUAAUACCGGAUGAUGACGUAAGUCCAAAGAUUUAUCGCCUAAGGAUGAGCCCGCGUAGGAUUAGCUUGUUGGUGAGGUAAAGGCUCACCAAGGCGACGAUCCUUAGCUGGUCUGAGAGGAUGAUCAGCCACACUGGGACUGAGACACGGCCCAGACUCCUACGGGAGGCAGCAGUGGGGAAUAUUGGACAAUGGGCGAAAGCCUGAUCCAGCAAUGCCGCGUGAGUGAUGAAGGCCUUAGGGUUGUAAAGCUCUUUUACCCGGGAUGAUAAUGACAGUACCGGGAG
rnacentral:rRNA from 1 species